rnacentral:tmRNA from 1 species
UUACUCCAAGAAUGCUGCAAUAUAUGCUAAAAUACGUUCGUCUUUGUAAAAAGACUAUGGUAAUAGAGGGUUGCUUAUAAUAGAUAUUUUGGACUCGGAGGCGGUACCCGACACCUCCACCAUCUUAUUUUUGUUUACACUCAAGUAGUUAAUCUUUAGAAGCUUUUAAGUUAUGAUACACAAGUAUUUUCAUAGCACUUUAGCUAUAGAUGCAGGUCUGUUUUCUAUUUCUAAGCUUUGAUUCUAAAUAACAGCCUUGGUGUAAAAUAUACUAGUAUGGGGGUGAAACAGCUUCGACAUAUAUUUAAAAAAGCAAUUGUUACCCAGGAUGAUACCUUCUGUGAUGGGUCAAAAAAAGUAAAUGCAAAUAAAGUUUUUGCACCUGCUAACGAAAAUUUCGACAGCAGAGCUUUCGCUCUAGCUGCUUAAUUUCGGCAAAGCGCGGUUCUUGGGGUUUUCCGGGCAACAGAAAAGCCCCUUA